rnacentral:rRNA from 1 species
GGCACAAGCGGUGGAGUAUGUGGUUUAAUUCGAUGCAACGCGAAGAACCUUACCUGGUCUUGACAUCCCGGAGACCCUUAGGAAACUAGGGGUGCUUCCCAUCUGGAAGAAUCUGGAGACAGGUGCUGCAUGGCUGUCGUCAGCUCGUGUCGUGAGAUGUUGGGUUAAGUCCCGCAACGAGCGCAACCCUUGUGUUUUAGUUGCAAACAGGUCAAGCUGUGCACUCUAGACAGACUGCCGUGGACAACACGGAGGAAGGUGGGGAUGACGUCAAAUCAUCAUGCCCCUUAUGAUCUGGGCUACACACGUGCUACAAUGGCCGGUACAACGGGCAGCGAAGGAGCGAUCCGGAGCGAAUCCUAAAAAGCCGGUCCCAGUUCGGAUUGCAGGCUGAAACUCGCCUUCAUGAAGCUGGAAUCGCUAGUAAUCGUGGAUCAGCCAAGCCGCGGUGAAUACGUUCCCGGGCCUU